GACGUAGGAUGCGAGCGUUGUCCGGAUUUAUUGGGCGUAAAGAGUUCGUAGGUGGUUCGCUAAGUCUGAUGUUAAAGACUGGGGCUCAACCCUGGGGGUGCAUUGGAUACUGGUGGACUGGAGUGCAGUAGAGGCAAGCGGAAUUCCCAGUGUAGCGGUGAAAUGCGUAGAUAUUGGGAAGAACACCGGUGGCGCAAGCGGCUUGCUGGGCUGUAACUGACGCUGAGGAACGAAAGCUAGGGGAGCGAAUGGG
rnacentral:rRNA from 1 species